CAACCCUUGACAUCCUAGGACAACUCCAGAGAUGGAGCCUUCCUUCGGGACCUAGUGACAGGUGCUGCAUGGCUGUCGUCAGCUCGUGUCGUGAGAUGUUCGGUUAAGUCCGGCAACGAGCGCAACCCACGUCUUUAGUUGCCAGCAGUUCGGCUGGGCACUCUAAAGAAACUGCCCGUGAUAAGCGGGAGGAAGGUGUGGAUGACGUCAAGUCCUCAUGGCCCUUACGGGUUGGGCUACACACGUGCUACAAUGGUGUCUACAGUGGGUUAAUCUCCAAAAGACAUCUCAGUUCGGAUUGUCGUCUGCAACUCGACGGUAUGAAGUCGGAAUCGCUAGUAAUCGUGGAUCAGCAUGCCACGGUGAAUACGUUCCC
rnacentral:rRNA from 1 species